UGAGGAAUAUUGGUCAAUGGGCGCGAGCCUGAACCAGCCAAGCAGCGUGCAGGAAGACGGCACUAUGGGUUGUAAACUGCUUUUAUGCGGGGAUAAAGGAGUCCACGUGUGGAUUUUUGCAGGUACCGCAUGAAUAAGGACCGGCUAAUUCCGUGCCAGCAGCCGCGGUAAUACGGAAGGUCCGGGCGUUAUCCGGAUUUAUUGGGUUUAAAGGGAGCGUAGGCCGCGUUUUAAGCGUGUUGUGAAAUGUAGACGCCCAACGUCUGCAUCGCAGCGCGAACUGGGACGCUUGAGUACGCGCAACGUUGGCGGAAUUCGUCGUGUAGCGGUGAAAUGCUUAGAUAUGACGAGGAACUCCGAUUGCGAAGGCAGCUGACGGGAGCGGCACUGACGCUUAAGCUCGAAGGUGCGGGUAUCAAACAGG
rnacentral:rRNA from 1 species